rnacentral:rRNA from 1 species
AGACGUAGGGGGCAAGCGUUGUCCGGAAUUACUGGGCGUAGAGGGUGCGUAGGCGGCAAUGCAAGUCUAAUGUGAAAUCCCCGUGCCUAACAUGGGGAUUGCAAUAGAAACUGUAUAGUUAGAGUGCAGGAGAGGUAAGUGGAAUUCCUAGUGUAGCGGUGAAAUGCAUAGGUAUUAGGAGGAACACCAGUGGCGAAGGCGACUUACUGGACUGUAACUGACGCUGAAGCACGAAAGCGUGGGGAGC